AUUACAUAACGCGCGGAGGCUAACACAUGCAAGUCGAACGGUAACAGGAAGAAGCUUGCUUCUUUGCUGACGAGUGGCGGACGGGUGAGUAAUGUCUGGGAAACUGCCUGAUGGAGGGGGAUAACUACUGGAAACGGUAGCUAAUACCGCAUAACGUCGCAAGACCAAAGAGGGGGACCUUCGGGCCUCUUGCCAUCGGAUGUGCCCAGAUGGGAUUAGCUUGUUGGUGGGGUAACGGCUCACCAAGGCGACGAUCCCUAGCUGGUCUGAGAGGAUGACCAGCCACACUGGAACUGAGACACGGUCCAGACUCCUACGGGAGGCAGCAGUGGGGAAUAUUGCACAAUGGGCGCAAGCCUGAUGCAGCCAUGCCGCGUGUAUGAAGAAGGCCUUCGGGUUGUAAAGUACUUUCAGCGGGGAGGAAGGGAGUAAAGUUAAUACCUUUGCUCAUUGACGUUACCCGCAGAAGAAGCACCGGCUAACUCCGUGCCA
rnacentral:rRNA from 1 species